UCCCUUCAAAUCGGCGCCGCCUCUCCCUAUAUUGAGGGUGCCGUCUUUCGGGGCGGCUAUGGCGAUACACGGCGAUCGUAAUAAACCCAUCGGACCCGGGGGCAGUACCCGGCGCCUCCACCUGAAGCCCGCGUGCGGCCUUCAGGCGGGGGCGAAACAGGAUCGACGAGGGCGUAAAGGGUUGGUCGUCGCCCGGCAUGAUUCCGCCGUUAUCGGGUCACCUUAAUAGUUGCCAACGACAACUAUGCUCCGGUUGCUCAGGCCGCGUAACGCGGUUUGAUAGACCGAAUCCAAGUCCUUCAGGUUAGCCCCUGAAGGCGGGGCCGGCAGGGGCCUGGCAACAGAACCCUGCCACU
rnacentral:tmRNA from 1 species